rnacentral:rRNA from 1 species
CCUACGGGUGGCAGCAGUGGGGAAUAUUGCACAAUGGGGGAAACCCUGAUGCAGCGACGCCGCGUGAGUGAAGAAGUAAUUCGUUACGUAAAGCUCUAUCAGCAGGGAAGAAACACUGACCUUACGGUCAGCAGACGGUACCUGAGUAAGAAGCCCCGGCUAACUACGUGCCAGCAGCCGCGGUAAUACGUAGGGGGCAAGCGUUAUCCGGAUUUACUGGGUGUAAAGGGAGCGUAGGCGGUGCGCCAAGUUUGGUGUGAAAUGCCGGAGCUUAACUGCGGAACUGCUUUGGAAAUUGGCGAACUAGAGUGCGGGAGGGGUAAGCGGAAUUCCUAGUGUAGCGGUGAAAUGCGUAGAUAUUAGGAGGAACACCGGUGGCGAAGGCGGCUUACUGGACCGUAACUGACGUUGAGGCUCGAAAGCGUGGGGAGCAAACAGGAUUAGAUACCCCGGUAGUC